AAAGAGAGGUGUCUACUAGGUGCCAGCCUGGCUUAGCUACUUACAAAAUGAAGAUACUGGUGUCUGGGAGAUUACAGGAAGAGCCUUGACUUGGGGCUACCAAGGCUCCCUUGGAUGUGACCUACCCAGUGUGUCCUUAGGGUCACUCAUGAAGACACUAACGCCUUUUACUAGGUUGCUUAAUGAUACUGGUCAGCGUGGCCAGCUGACUUGAUGAUGGGCAGUAUGCAGAACACAUGGAGGCUGAACUGGUAUCUUUCUGAAUUCCCUGAACGGCCCACAAAACAAGAAAACGGGAAAUGUGCUUGUUCAAGCACUCUGGCUGGGGACCAAGCCUUGAACACUUGGGUAUUUGGAGAAUACUUCAGACGCAAGCUGUAGCACCAAGAAGCGUGGAGCCAAGGGCAUGAAGCCAGAGAAAACAAACCAACAAACUGUAAAGAAGAGGCAUUUAAAUGGUUUUCCCGCCUGACCUUCCAAGUGCUGAGAUCACAGGCAUGAACUGCGCCAGUCUCCCUCCUGGGAAGCACCUUGGACACCCAGAGAAAAACAGAUGAUAAAGUUCCAUGAAUCUCAGAUCCCAAGGGAGCUCUGUCUGAGCCUGGCCAGAGCAGCUGCUUUGGUGACUGCGGCACUAAACAAGAGAUCUUUGAGUCCCUACCAGUCCUUCAGUCAGCUUGGCUCAGAUCAGCGAAGAGUCGACUAUCAAGCCCUCCUGGGCCUACUGAGUUUUUUCUGUUUCUCAGAAUUGAAAUCCCUUGCCUGCCAUGACUCUCACGGCCCACCCCUGUUUUCCUAGAUUUAAACACUGGCACAUUGGAACUCUAUGGGUCCUGGUCAGGUUCAAAGUACCUGCCCUUCAGGGCCUUGAGCUUGAGCAGGGACCAAAACCACGUGGCACACAGUUCUGCUUGUCCCAUCAUUACGCGUUCUGUUAAUGGUAACCGUCCUAAUACGGAGGCUGUAGAUUAAUCCUUGCUGUGUGAACUUGAUGUAAGCCGAGUUACAGGUAUGUCUCUGAUGGAAUGCAAUUUCUUGAAUUCAACAUGGUUUUGAGUGUCUUCCUAAUUAUUGUACAUAAUAAUUAAUCUUUUUUUUCUUUCCUUGGAUUUUGGUUUGUGUGUGGUGGGAGUAGCCAUUUGUUUUAGAGACAGGCCUUCUCUGUGCACCCAGGCUAACCUGGAACUCAUGAUCCUCCUAACCUCAGCCUCCCAAGAGCUGGGAUUACAGAUGUAGAGAUCAAGACCCUUAUACUGUAAUAAAGAAAAAAGACGAGGGAAUCCAAGUCAGCCAAAGACACAUAGUAAGACCCUGUCUCAAAAAAAAAAAAAAAAAAAAGAGUCUGGUGAUGAUUUGGUGUUUGGUGCAAGCUAGCUUUUCCAAAUCCCUGAUCUUGAGCAGUUCCUUGGCCUCUUUUCCCCCCACAGGCUGGGAAUUUAGAGAAUCACAACUUUGUUUUUUUUUCCGGAAAGUCCCCUUCCCAAGUUUUCCAUCCUAUCGGUUCAAGAACAAAGUCUUGUCUAAUGAAGACACCUGGGCCUGAUGAUUGCUUCCUUUUCUGAACCUGCACUCAGUCAUGUAGAAGACUACCUAUAACUUCCCAGCAUGCUUCAGUCACCAGCUAGGGAGAGCAUGAGCGCUAAGAGCACCUCAGACUGAACGUGGAGCAUCAUGGCUUAUCAUCACCUCUUAGCUUCAGCUUUCUUCCUACUGCUGGACAAUAAAGCUACUUCUCCAUUCUCACUGGGAUGCUUCCAGAGUCUCCCUCCCAAACCUGGGCUCUCAUGAGCUGGGAAUGGUCUCAUGGCCAGUCUCCACGUCCUCGAGUAUACAAGUACUCACCUUCAGAAAAAUUUCUAGAUGCUUUCCCCAAGUGCCUGCACACCUUUUUAAAAAUUCC